UACAGAGGGUGCGAGCGUUAAUCGGAAUUACUGGGCGUAAAGCGCACGUAGGCGGCUUGGUAUGUCGGGUGUGAAAUCCCCGGGCUCAACCUGGGAACUGCAUCCGAAACUGCCUUGCUAGAGUAUGGGAGAGGGAAGUGGAAUUUCCGGUGUAGCGGUGAAAUGCGUUGAUAUCAUCAGGAACACCGGAGGCGAAAGCGGCCCACUGGGUCUUAUCUGACGCUGAGGGACGAAAGCUAGGGGAGCGAACGGG
rnacentral:rRNA from 1 species